CAAAUCCAAACGAGACAGGGACGGUCGUGGCGAAGAAGCUCGCGGCGGCGCGUCGUCGUCGAGAGCUCCGGCGGCCGAGGUGAGGUGCUCGGCUGUUAGAUCAGGGAGGCUGGGAGGGCCAUGUCGUCUCUGCUGCGCUCGUCGGCCGUCCGUCGCGCUCUCUCCGCGGCCUCCCGGCCUUCCUUUCGCCGUGCCAUCUCGGCGGCAGCCACCGCGUCCGGAGGAGGAGGGGUGGAAGCUGCCGUCGCCCGCGGCCCAAACCCUACUGUGCCGCUGCCGCAACCUCACACUACACAGCAGAGCAAAGCUUAAGCUAAUCCGAUAACUUGCAAGCCUUGGGCUUAUAGAUUAAUGGCAUGAAUCAAAUUGGGGGCAAAUGGAGCUUGUCCUUUUCAUCUUAGAAACAUGUUUAUUUCUUCUAUUUAACAUGCACUGGCAUGCCUAAUUGUCUAGUUUGAUAGUAAUCCCUUUUUCUUUCAGAAGCAUUAAUCCUGCAUAAGAGUAACAGUUCAAUUCCUGGAGCCAGAUUAAUAGAGAAUUACAUUUUGAUUAUAGAAGGCAGAUUGCAGUUGACUAUGAAUUCCCAACCAUUGUUUGUUGUGAAGGAUGACAAGACUGAUCUGGAGCGAAAGCAUCUUCAAGAACUGGAGCGGAUGUUUCAACAAAUUUUCACUGAACAUGUGAAGCUGCACAGAUUUAUCCACAGCUCUGACCGUGACUAUUGUGACAGGUAUUUUGUCGCUCUUCAAGAAUGCAUAUCCACUAACUAUUCAUUUAAAAUACCAGACAUCAGGAUAACAGAGAAAAUAGUAAUAAUCAUAUCAUAGUUAAGGUUUCCCUCUGUUGAGAGAGAUGACCCACUAUUCUAGGCUAUCCAUGGAGAGAGGAUUUUAUUGGUCCAACACUUUUACUUGUGCAGCUAAGGGGAGACCCGCAAUAGAUCAUCUAUGUAGUUAUUUACAGGCUCUGUGGGCCUAUAAUAUACAAGCAACUUAUCCUGGCUGGGUUUUCGUGCUGUUUGGAAACCUGCCCUUGCUGCAUGGCUGUUAUAUUGUUCAAA